rnacentral:lncRNA from 1 species
GAUAGAAAGACAAGGAGUUUAUCUGUUAAGCGAAUGUAUCUUACAGAUAUUAUAAAUACGAUAGAGAGACGUAGAGGCGGCAAUUAACGCUUAAUCCAAUCGCCGGAGGACUCCGUGUUGGAGGAAUUUUGGCAAAUACAUUUUGGUGCCUCCUGUGAGGUGUGAAUUUCUGAUUCCUGGUUUGAGUGAAGCUGCGUAUACGGAAUCGCCACUGAGAAAAUCUAGUUCCUGAACAUACACGCUGCCACGUCGAGCUAGUCAUCACAAAGGAUUC